UGGAGACAAUGGUGUAUAUAGCAGGCAAUGUAGAAAGGAACAGGAUGACCAGCAGCAUGGCCAUGUAGAAGUUAUUGGAGCCUGAAGCUUUGAAGACCCGUUCCUGAGGCACAUUACAGCACAUCACCGCCCAACAUUGCAGAUCAUUCCCUGGUUGAAGAUCAGCCCCAGAACAUUCCCACUGACGUCAAACUCUGAGUAGGAUGGCUAAUGAAGAAAGCACACUUCAGUUAUAAAUGAGAGGGAAUCCUUGAUACUGACUUCUGCAUGUGCUGUGGAUACUCACAAAGCCAAACUCCAAAUCCCAGCACCAGCAGUUGUUUAGGAAUCGCACCAGUACGGCACGGAAGAAAUCCCCAAUAAGCAGAGUGAUUACCUGUCCCACCAUUGUCUCCCAGCAGGGCCCUCUGGGAACAUCAGCAGGGUGCACCGUGAUCGGAAGAGCAGUCGAAUUGUCUGGCACAGUCCCGUUGUACAGAAAUACUGAAGAUGAGACUGUGAGGGCUUUAGUCUUUGUUAAAUGAAGCUCUACCUUUAGUUGGAUGGCAUCCAUGAGAGCGAUGAUGAACGUGUAGAGGUUUCCCAGGAAAAGGGCGAAUAUGCGUCCCAGCUGCCACUGGAGGGCGAUGCGUGGAUGAUAGUUCUCUAAAGUGCUGAUUACAUCAAACAGCAUCGGACAGAACAUUCCCAACAGAGACAUCACCAUGUUAACCUGAAGCCGUAGUUCUCUAGUCCCUCCAGAGCGAACUUCUGAGACCUGCGUACUACAAAGUAGAUCAAGUACCCACUCCCUGCCAGACAGCAGAGCACCAGGAAGUUGGCCAGCACUCUAAGGAAUCUUGUCAGAUGCGAUGAGUUUAUGCCGUGGCAUUCUCCUCUUGAGUGGCCUUCACUCUGUGACCUCACGCAUGUGUCCAUGCAUACACAAAGAGCUAGACUGUUUUCAUCGCCUAAAUUUAGCAGCACCGUUUGGGGAUUCCAUCUUCGGAGGAUUGACACAGGCUGUAACUGUAUUCUGAGCAUGUCUCCUUCUCUCAGCUACUGGCACACCUUUCAGAGGAGAAACACAAAAACGUUCCGAUUUUUUUCAUUAUGUCUUAAAGAAAAAGGUUUUUCAAUAUACGUUUACAGUAGAAUCAAACAUUUUGACUAUUAUGAAUUAACAUGUAACAGUACAAAUAAUGCUUAUGAGAACAUAAAGAGCCAUUUAGCGCCAAUAGACGUGACUAAAAACUAUGAGCUGGCAGCUUUCGUUUGUGAAAUGUCUCUCCCAAUAUGUGGCUGUUAUGAGUCACAUUCUAACAGUAGUGUCUCAUCUUUAAAUAUUGUCAUCAGAUGCAGAACCGCCCUCAGGUGAUCAUGUGAGCAGACGACGAGCUGCAUUCCAUUACUCUGAAGAAUCCUAUAGUCAUGAUAUUUAAUACACUCUGGGUGGAUGAAGGUUUAUAUUUAGCCUAUAGAAGAGCCGGUGCCCUGUUACUCUCAGUCAGUAACGGCUCAUUCAGGUUGUAUUCUCGGUACUGCAUGUGCAGGAAAAGAAAGAAGUUGUUUGACUGGAAAGAUGAUUCAUUUCU